rnacentral:rRNA from 1 species
CCUACGGGUGGCAGCAGUGGGGAAUAUUGCACAAUGGGGGAAACCCUGAUGCAGCGACGCCGCGUGAGUGAGGAAGUAUUUCGGUAUGUAAAGCCCUAUCAGCAGGGAAGAAAAUGACGGUACCUGACUAAGAAGCCCCGGCUAACUACGUGCCAGCAGCCGCGGUAAUACGUAGGGGGCAAGCGUUAUCCGGAUUUACUGGGUUUAAAGGGAGAGUAGACGGCUAUUCAAGUCAGGAGUGAAAACCAAGGGCUCAACCUUGGGACUGCUUUUGAAACUGAGUAGCUAGAGUGCAGGAGGGGUAAGCGGAAUGCCUGGUGUAGCGGUGAAAUGCGUAGAUAUUGGGAGGAACACCAGUGGCGAAGGCGGCUUACUGGACUGUAACUGACGUUGAGGCUCGAAAGCGUGGGGAGCAAACAGGAUUAGAUACCCCAGUAGUC